ensembl:snoRNA
CCUGAGACUAGAGUCACAUCCUGGCAGCUCUUGUCCUGGUGUGCUAGAGUUCUCGGAGAUAAUCUGCUGGUCUUGAUUCACUGGCGAAGGCAAUCAGAUCAGAAACAUUC